ACGCACGCUGGCGGCGUGCUUAACCCCUGCAAGUCGCACGGAAAGGCCCUGCUUUUGUGGGGUGCUCGAGUGGCGAACGGGUGAGUAACACGUGAGUAACCUGCCCUUGACUUUGGGAUAACUUCAGGAAACUGGGGCUAAUACCGGAUAGGAGCUCCUGCUGCCUGGUGGGGGUUGGAAAGUUUCGGCGGUUGGGGAUGGACUCGCGGCUUAUCAGCUUGUUGGUGGGGUAGUGGCUUACCAAGGCUUUGACGGGUAGCCGGCCUGAGAGGGUGACCGGCCACAUUGGGACUGAGAUACGGCCCAGACUCCUACGGGAGGCAGCAGUGGGGAAUAUUGCACAAUGGGCGGAAGCCUGAUGCAGCAACGCCGCGUGCGGGAUGACGGCCUUCGGGUUGUAAACCGCUUUCGCCUGUGACGAAGCGUGAGUGACGGUAAUGGGUAAAGAAGCACCGGCUAACUACGUG
rnacentral:rRNA from 1 species